UACAGAAGGGGCAAGCGUUGUUCGGAAUUACUGGGCGUAAAGGGCGCGCAGGCGGCCGCCUAAGUCAGACGUGAAAUCCCUCGGCUCAACCGGGGAACUGCGUCUGAUACUGGGUGGCUUGAAUUCGGGAGAGGGAUGCGGAAUUCCAGGUGUAGCGGUGAAAUGCGUAGAUAUCUGGAGGAACACCGGUGGCGAAGGCGGCAUCCUGGACCGAGAUUGACGCUGAGGCGCGAAAGCCAGGGGAGCAAACGGG
rnacentral:rRNA from 1 species